rnacentral:lncRNA from 1 species
GAAGAAAAGUUUUCUGCUACUUCACUACUCUUAUAUCAAGUAUUAUUUUACGAUAAGGGAUAUUAUUCUUUUAUAUUCAUGAAGAGAACUGUAGUUAUUCCAUUUCUUAUUAUUCUGUUAGAAUAACCUGUAUACGCGGAAUACCCUAUACUUGGUGACAUUCUUCUAUUAUUCUGUCUUUAUUAUUCUGUCGGAAUAUCCUGUCUGUGCUAUACGCC